CGAGCCUCAAGAAAAACGGAUCUAAGAAGGCGGCAGCUUUUCCUGCUGAGAUGGAAGAUCUGGCUUCACUUUGGGUUGACUGAGUGCUUGUUUUUUAACGUUUCUUCAAGUAAAGUCAAACAUCCACUCCAAGCAGGCUGCAAACUCCCCAGGACGCUGAGGCAGCAGGCAGAGGAGGCAGGGCUUGAAGGGUCUUGAGGCUGCUGGCCAUCAGAAUGGAAGAACGCUAUCAGCUCUCCUGGUUCUCAGGCCUUUGGACUCAAACUGAGACCAAACCACCAGCUCUCCCAGGUCUCCAACUCGCCAACUCACCCUGCGGAUGUUGGGAAUAAUCAACCUCCCAAAUCAGUUUGGCAGGAUCAGAAUUUCUGGUUCACAAGCAUGGCCUGACCUAGGGCCAGCUCCUGCUGUGUCCGUGCCUCCCAGAAGGGGAUUUUCUAGACCACUGGAGAUCCUGAGGCCUCUCUGACAAAAGGGCUGGAGACACUCUGCCAGAUGGGCCUGGAAGGUGGCACAUAAGUAUAAGAUCAGGACUAUCCUGGGUUUGAAGGGAACCAGGACAGCUUUGUGACAUAACAGGAGCCCCACUGGAUUUUCUGAAGUGCAAUUUCACCCCGUUUACACUUCUUGGUGUG